UACGUAGGGGGCUAGCGUUGUCCGGAAUCAUUGGGCGUAAAGCGCGUGUAGGCGGUCCGGUAAGUCCGCUGUGAAAGUCGGGGGCUCAACCCUCGAAUGCCGGUGGAUACUGUCGGGCUAGAGUGCGGAAGAGGCGAGUGGAAUUCCUGGUGUAGCGGUGAAAUGCGCAGAUAUCAGGAGGAACACCAAUUGCGAAGGCAGCUCGCUGGGACGUAACUGACGCUGAGACGCGAAAGCGUGGGGAGCAAACGGG
rnacentral:rRNA from 1 species